GGACGGGGCGCGGGCGGACGAUGGAACUCCACAUCCUGGAGCACCGGCUGCAAGUUGCCAGCGUCGCCAAGGAGAGUAUCCCGCUGUUCACCUACGGGCCUGAUCAAACUUGCCUUCCUGUUCUCCAAGACCAGGUGCAAGUUCUUCAGUCUGACUGAGACACCAGAGGAUUACACUAUCAUUGUCGAUGAGGAAGGAUUCCUAGAGCUGCCCUCCUCGGAGCACCUGAGUGUGGCGGAUGCCACCUGGCUGGCCCUGAACGUGGUGUCCGGCGGUGGCAGCUUCUCCAGCUCCCAGCCUAUUGGCAUGACCAAGAUCGCCAAGUCAGUCAUCGCCCCACUGGCUGACCAGAACAUAUCCGUGUUCAUGCUGUCCACGUAUCAGACAGACUUCAUCCUGGUGAGGAUACAACUAGAAGCCAGCAGUCUACAGGCUGGAAGAAGGCCCUCACCAGAACCCAACCCUUGGACUUCAGCCUCCAGAACUGUGAGAAAUACAUACCUGCUGUUUGU
rnacentral:lncRNA from 1 species